rnacentral:rRNA from 1 species
AGUGAACGCUGGCGGUAGGCCUAACACAUGCAAGUCGAACGGCAGCACAGUAAGAGCUUGCUCUUACGGGUGGCGAGUGGCGGACGGGUGAGGAAUACAUCUGAAUCUACUUUUUCGUGGGGGAUAACGUAGGGAAACUUACGCUAAUACCGCAUACGACCUACGGGUGAAAGCAGGGGAUCUUCGGACCUUGCGCGAUUGAAUGAGCCGAUGUCGGAUUAGCUAGUUGGCGGGGUAAAGGCCCACCAAGGCGACGAUCCGUAGCUGGUCUGAGAGGAUGAUCAGCCACACUGGAACUGAGACACGGUCCAGACUCCUACGGGAGGCAGCAGUGGGGAAUAUUGGACAAUGGGCACAAGCCUGAUCCAGCCAUACCGCGUGGGUGAAGAAGGCCUUCGGGUUGUAAAGCCCUUUUGUUGGGAAAGAAAAGCAGCAGGUUAAUACCCCGCUGUUCUGACGGUACCCAAAGAAUAAGCACCGGCUAACUUCGUG